rnacentral:lncRNA from 1 species
AUAUAUAUAUAUAUAUAUAUGUUCGAUUGUAUAUGUUAAAACAAAUGUUGAUUUCUUAUAAGUUCAUUAUUAUCUUUCUGUAUUAAAACAAUAUAUUAAUAAUGAUAUAAGUAAAAUAAUUUUUUCACAUAUAAAAAAAAAAUAAAUAAAUAAAUUUUCUUUACAAUAUAUAUGACAUAAUGUAUAUUUUUCUAUAUUUUCGUUGUUUUUUUGUUUUUUUUUUUUUGUUCUAUGUAGGUUUUUUUAAGUUUUACUAUAAUUAUAAAAAAAAAAAAAAAAUAUAUAUAUAUACACCAAAUAUAGAAAAUUAUAAGAUAGCGAGCCAUAUAUAAAUUUUUCUGGUGUGUGUAUGUACAUUAUCGUAAAAUUCACAUCACGCAUGACUUUAUGUGCUUCUUCAACAUUUUGUGAAUAUAUAGUUAUUUGUAACACAGUUUUAGUGUACAUAUGAAUAUGUUCAUUUAUAUAUGCUUAUUUUGAAUAAGCUGCUACAUAUAUAUAUAUAUAUAUAUAUAUAUAUAUAUAUAUAUAUAUAUAUAUUAUAACAUAAAUAACUGUGUUCCAUAUUUUAUUGUGUUGUUUGUGUUUAUUUAUUUUGUAUAAAAAAAAACACAUAUAUUGUUACUUUCUGUUUUUUCUGUACUUUUUUUUUUUUAUUGUUAUUGCAAAAUGCGCAAGAAUUUUUUUUUUUUGUUAUUCUCUCUAUCACUAGCGUUGUUAGGCGGUUCAAAUGUUUCUGUAAAGAAAAAAUUUUAUGAAGGAGAAAUUAAGAAUCAUUUGAAUAGAUUUUUAAUUUUAAAAAAUUCUCAAAAAUAUUGUGAAGGAAGCAAUUUAAUCUCGACUACAAAUUCAGAAAACUUAUAUAAACUCAGCAAAGCAUUAGAUAUUUGCGAGAAUAAUAAAACUUGUGAUUUUAUUUCAUAUUCUCCUAGAAGAAUUUUAAGGAAUUCAAUUUUUUAUGAGGAUGAAAAGGAGUUGCAAAAUACCGGUGCCAUUUGGAUAUGUGCAGGUGAUAAAUGGGUAUCUACACGGCCACGAAUUAAUUGGAUUACGGCUAUUAAAGAAAAACAGAUAAAAGAUCAAAUGAGUGACUACAAUAUCAUUUCUCUUAACACAUCAGGGGUAUAUUUGGUAAAAAAACUAGUCACAAAAAAAAAAAAAAAAAAAAAAACAGCAAAUAGUGAAUAUCUAAUUGUAAAUAAUU